ACCGGCGUACGGGUGAGUAACACGUGGGUAACCUGCCCUUGAGAUCGGGAUAACCCGUCGAAAGACGGAUUAAUACCGGAUAAGACCACGUUCGCAAAAGGCGCACUCAUGGAGGGGCCCGCGACCUAUCAGCUAGUUGGUGAGGUAACGGCUCACCAAGGCUAAGACGGGUAGCUGGUCUGAGAGGAUGGUCAGCCACACUGGGACUGAGACACGGCCCAGAGUCCUACGGGAUGCAGCAGUCAGGAAUAUUGCGCAAUGGAGGAAACUCUGACGCAGCGACGCCGCGUGGGUGAUGAAGGCCUUCGGGUCGUAAAGCCCUGUCGGAGGGGAAGAAUGACGGUACCCUC
rnacentral:rRNA from 1 species